CUAAGAAUAUUCCGCAAUGGACGGAAGUCUGACGGAGCGACGCCGCGUGGAUGAAGAAGGCUGAAAAGUUGUAAAAUCCUUUUGUUGAUGAAGAAUAAGGGUGAGAGGGAAUGCUCAUCUGAUGACGGUAAUCGACGAAUAAGCCCCGGCUAAUUACGUGCCAGCAGCCGCGGUAACACGUAAGGGGCGAGCGUUGUUCGGAAUUAUUGGGCGUAAAGGGCAUGUAGGCGGUUGUGUAAGCCUGGUGUGAAAUCCUGGGGCUUAACCCUAGAAUAGCAUUGGGUACUGCACGACUUGAAUUACGGAAGGGAAACUGGAAUUCCAAGUGUAGGGGUGGAAUCUGUAGAUAUUUGGAAGAACACCGGUGGCGAAGGCGGGUUUCUGGCCGAUAAUUGACGCUGAGAUGCGAAAGUGUGGGGAUCGAACAGGAUUAGAUACCCUGGUAGUCCACACUGUAAACGAUGUACACUAGGUGUUGGGGCAAGAGCUUCAGUGCCAAAGCAAACGCGAUAAGUGUACCGCCUGGGGAGUAUGCCCGCAAGGGUG
rnacentral:rRNA from 1 species